rnacentral:rRNA from 1 species
GACGAACGCUGGCGGCGUGCUUAACACAUGCAAGUCGAACGGGCCUGUCUUCUUUUUUGGGGGGUGGGUUGAGUGGCGAACGGGUGAGUAUCACGUGAGUAACCUGCCCUUCGGUCCUGGAUAACCGCUUGAAAGGGCGGCUAAUACGGGGUGGUCCGGUUGGUCCGCAUGGGCUGGUCGGGAUAGAUUCACUGUUUUUGGUGUUUCGGCGGGGGAUGGGCUCGCGGCCUAUCAGCUUGUUGGCGGGGUGAUGGCCUACCAAGGCGGUGACGGGUAGCCGGCCUGAGAGGGUGGGCGGCCACACUGGGACUGAGAUACGGCCCAGACUCCUGCGGGAGGCAGCAGUGGGGGGUAUUGCACAAUGGGCGGAAGCCUGAUGCAGCGACGUCGCGUGAGGGAUGGAGGCCUUCGGGUUGUGAACCUCUGUUUCCGGUGGUGAAGGCCCUGUCCGUGUGGUGGGGUUGACGGUAGCCGGGGAUGAAGCGCCGGCUAACUACGUG